UACGGAGGGUGCAAACGUUGCUCGGAAUCAUUGGGCGUAAAGGGCGUGUAGGCGGCCCGCUAAGUCUGAUGUGAAAGCCCGGGGCUCACCCCCGGAAGGGCAUUGGAUACUGGCAGGCUCGAGUCCCGGAGAGGAGGGUGGAAUUCCUGGUGUAGCGGUGAAAUGCGUAGAUAUCAGGAGGAACACCGGUGGCGAAGGCGGCCCUCUGGACGGUGACUGACGCUGAGACGCGAAAGCGUGGGGAGCAAAC
rnacentral:rRNA from 1 species